GAUGAACGCUGGCGGCGUGCCUAAUACAUGCAAGUCGAGCGAACAGACGAGGAGCUUGCUCCUCUGACGUUAGCGGCGGACGGGUGAGUAACACGUGGAUAACCUACCUAUAUGACUGGGAUAACUUCGGGAAACCGGAGCUAAUACCGGAUAAUAUAUUGAACCGCAUGGUUCAAUAGUGAAAGACGGUUUUGCUGUCACUUAUAGAUGGAUCCGCGCCGCAUUAGCUAGUUGGUAAGGUAACGGCUUACCAAGGCAACGAUGCGUAGCCGACCUGAGAGGGUGAUCGGCCACACGGGAACUGAGACACGGUCCAGACUCCUACGGGAGGCAGCAGUAGGGAAUCUUCGGCAAUGGGCGAAAGCCUGACGGAGCAACGCCGCGUGAGUGAUGAAGGUCUUCGGAUCGUAAAACUCUGUUAUUAGGGAAGAACAAAUGUGUAAGUAACUAUGCACGUCUUGACGGUACCUAAUCAGAAAGCCACGGCUAACUACGUG
rnacentral:rRNA from 1 species